AGUGAACGCUGGCGGUAGGCCUAACACAUGCAAGUCGAACGGCAGCACGGUAAGAGCUUGCUCUUACGGGUGGCGAGUGGCGGACGGGUGAGGAAUACAUCGGAAUCUACUUUUUCGUGGGGGAUAACGUAGGGAAACUUACGCUAAUACCGCAUACGACCUACGGGUGAAAGCAGGGGAUCUUCGGACCUUGCGCGAUUGAAUGAGCCGAUGUCGGAUUAGCUAGUUGGCGGGGUAAAGGCCCACCAAGGCGACGAUCCGUAGCUGGUCUGAGAGGAUGAUCAGCCACACUGGAACUGAGACACGGUCCAGACUCCUACGGGAGGCAGCAGUGGGGAAUAUUGGACAAUGGGCGCAAGCCUGAUCCAGCCAUACCGCGUGGGUGAAGAAGGACUUCGGGUUGUAAAGCCCUUUUGUUGGGAAAGAAAAGCAGCAGGUUAAUACCCCGCUGUUCUGACGGUACCCAAAGAAUAAGCACCGGCUAACUUCGUG
rnacentral:rRNA from 1 species